AGAGUUUGAUCCUGGCUCAGGAUGAACGCUGGCGGCGUGCUUAACACAUGCAAGUCGAGCGAAGCGCUUUUGCGGAUUUCUUCGGAUUGAAGCAACUGUGACUGAGCGGCGGACGGGUGAGUAACGCGUGGGUAACCUACCUCAUACAGGGGGAUAACAGUUGGAAACGGCUGCUAAUACCGCAUAAGCGCACAGUACCGCAUGGUACCGUGUGAAAAACUCCGGUGGUAUGAGAUGGACCCGCGUCUGAUUAGCUAGUUGGUGGGGUAACGGCCUACCAAGGCGACGAUCAGUAGCCGACCUGAGAGGGUGACCGGCCACAUUGGGACUGAGACACGGCCCAAACUCCUACGGGAGGCAGCAGUGGGGAAUAUUGCACAAUGGGGGAAACCCUGAUGCAGCGACGCCGCGUGAGUGAAGAAGUAUUUCGGUAUGUAAAGCUCUAUCAGCAGGGAAGAAAAUGACGGUACCUGACUAAGAAGCCCCGGCUAACUACGUGCCAGCAGCCGCGGUAAUACGUAGGGGGCAAGCGUUAUCCGGAUUUACUGGGUGUAAAGGGAGCGUAGACGGCAUGGCAAGCCAGAUGUGAAAGCCCGGGGCUCAACCCCGGGACUGCAUUUGGAACUGUCAGGCUAGAGUGUCGGAGAGGAAAGCGGAAUUCCUAGUGUAGCGGUGAAAUGCGUAGAUAUUAGGAGGAACACCAGUGGCGAAGGCGGCCUGCUGGACUGUUACUGACACUGAGGCACGAAAGCGUGGGGAGCAAACAGGAUUAGAUACCCUGGUAGUCCACGC
rnacentral:rRNA from 1 species